CACUAAGAAGCUAAACCGGGCUCAGCGUUAGCCUUUUAAGCUAAAGAAUGGUGUCUCCCAAUCACCCUUAGUGA
rnacentral:tRNA from 1 species